UACGUAGGGUGCGAGCGUUGUCCGGAAUUAUUGGGCGUAAAGAGCUUGUAGGCGGUUUGUCGCGUCUGCUGUGAAAUUUCGGGGCUCAACCCCGAGCUUGCAGUGGGUACGGGCAGACUAGAGUGUGGUAGGGGGAGACUGGAAUUCCUGGUGUAGCGGUGAAAUGCGCAGAUAUCAGGAGGAACACCGAUGGCGAAGGCAGGUCUCUGGGCCAUAACUGACGCUGAGAAGCGAAAGCAUGGGGAGCGAACAGG
rnacentral:rRNA from 1 species